rnacentral:rRNA from 1 species
GGGGAAUCUUGCGCAAUGGCCGAAAGGCUGACGCAGCGACGCCGCGUGAGGGAUGACGGCCUUCGGGUUGUAAACCUCUGUUGCCCGGGACGAACUGGCGGUUUCGACCGCCUUGACGGUACCGGGUGAGCGAGCACCGGCUAACUCUGUGCCAGCAGCCGCGGUAAUACAGAGGGUGCGAGCGUUGUCCGGAAUCACUGGGCGUAAAGGGCGCGUAGGCGGUGACUUAAGCGUGCGGUGAAAGCUCGGGGCUCAACCCCGAGUCGGCCGUGCGAACUGGGUCACUUGAGCGUAUCAGAGGCAGGCGGAAUUCCGGGUGUAGCGGUGGAAUGCGUAGAGAUCCGGAAGAACACCGGUGGCGAAGGCGGCCUGCUGGGAUACUUGCUGACGCUGAGGCGCGACAGCGUGGGGAGCAAAC